AGGACGAACGCUGGCGGCGUGCUUAACACAUGCAAGUCGAGCGGAAAGGCCCUUCGGGGUACUCGAGCGGCGAACGGGUGAGUAACACGUGGGCAACCUGCCCCUAGCUCUGGGAUAACUCCGGGAAACCGGUGCUAAUACCGGAUAUGACCUCAAUGGGCAUCUUCUGAGGUGGAAAGAUUUAUCGGCUAGGGAUGGGCCCGCGGCCUAUCAGCUUGUUGGUGGGGUAAUGGCCUACCAAGGCGACGACGGGUA
rnacentral:rRNA from 1 species